rnacentral:rRNA from 1 species
GAUGAACGCUGGCGGCGUGCUUAACACAUGCAAGUCGAACGGACGAUGAAGAGCUUGCUUUUCAAAGUUAGUGGCGGACGGGUGAGUAACGCGUGGGUAACCUGCCUCAUACAGGGGGAUAGCAGCUGGAAACGGCUGAUAAAACCGCAUAAGCGCACAGCAUCGCAUGAUGCAGUGUGAAAAACUCCGGUGGUAUGAGAUGGACCCGCGUCUGAUUAGCUGGUUGGUGAGGUAACGGCCCACCAAGGCGACGAUCAGUAGCCGGCCUGAGAGGGUGACCGGCCACAUUGGGACUGAGACACGGCCCAAACUCCUACGGGAGGCAGCAGUGGGGAAUAUUGCACAAUGGGGGAAACCCUGAUGCAGCGACGCCGCGUGAAGGAAGAAGUAUCUCGGUAUGUAAACUUCUAUCAGCAGGGAAGAUAAUGACGGU